AGCAGCCGCGGUAAUUCCAGCUCCAAUAGCGUAUAUUAAAGUUGUUGCGGUUAAAAAGCUCGUAGUUGAAUUUCGGGGUUAGUAGAUUGGUCAUGCCUCUGGUAUGUACUGGUCUCACUGAUUCCUCCUUCCUGAUGAUCCGUAAUGCCAUUAAUUUGGUGUUGCGGGGAAUUUGGACUGUUACUUUGAAAAAAUUAGAGUGUUUAAAGCAAGCUAACGCUUGAAUACAUUAGCAUGGAAUAAUGAAAUAGGACGUUCGAUCCUAUUUUGUUGGUUUCUAGGAUUGACGUAAUGAUUAAUAGGGAUAGUUGGGGGCAUUAGUAUUCAAUUGUCAGAGGUGAAAUUCUUGGAUUUAUUGAAGACUAACUACUGCGAAAGCAUUUGCCAAGGAUGUUUUCAUUAAUCAAGAACGAAAGUUAGGGGAUCGAAGACGAUCAGAUACCGUCGCAGUCUUAACCAUAAACUACGCCGACUAGGGAUCGGAUGAUGUUAAUUUUUUAAUGACUCA
rnacentral:rRNA from 1 species